AAAUCUUCGAACCUGAGUAGGUGA
rnacentral:siRNA from 1 species